rnacentral:rRNA from 1 species
GCUUAACACAUGCAAGUCGAACGGGAUCCAGGCUUCGGCCUGGUGAGAGUGGCGGACGGGUGAGUAACGCGUGGGAACCUGCCCAAUGGUCUGGGAUAACCGCGGGAAACUGCGGCUAAUACCGGAUAAGCCCGAGAGGGGAAAGAUUUAUCGCCGAUGGAGGGGCCCGCGUCCGAUUAGGUAGUUGGUGGGGUAAUGGCCUACCAAGCCUACGAUCGGUAGCUGGUCUGAGAGGAUGAUCAGCCACACUGGGACUGAGAUACGGCCCAGACUCCUACGGGAGGCAGCAGUGGGGAAUAUUGGACAAUGGGGGCAACCCUGAUCCAGCAAUGCCGCGUGAGUGAUGAAGGCCUUAGGGUUGUAAAGCUCUUUUGCCAGGGAAGAUGAUGACUGUACCUGGAGAAUAAGCCCCGGCUAACUUCGUGCCAGCAGCCGCGGUAAUAC